UUAAGUUCAGCGGGUAUUCCUACCUGAUCCGAGGUCAACGUUCAAAAUUGGGGGUUUCACGGCGUGGUCCCGCCGCUCUCCAAUGCGAGGUGCGCUACUACGCAGGGGAGGCUGCAGCGAGACCGCCACUGUAUUUCGGGGCCGGCACCGCGGGGGCGGGCCGAUCCCCAACACCAUGCUCCCGGAGGGGGCUUGAGGGU
rnacentral:misc_RNA from 1 species